UCUAGCAGUAGUCAGCUGUCCAGACAGAAUCAUCGUUGUGAUGGUAUUACACUGCUGCAGGAGAAAUGUCCUGUCUUCUUCCUCCAGUUGCUUCCAUCACUGUUCUGGUCACUGCGCAAGGCAGAACUGUACUUCCUUGAAAUUGUGCUAAGUAUCCAUUCUGGCUGCUUAGUUCUAGUGUGGGAGCAGACACA